AUUGACUAUUUAAGGUGAACUAGUAAGAGUCUUGAAUAUAUUCUCUCAGACACAACAAGUGAGAGUUGAAGAUCGACUGAGACAAUGGAGACACAAAGGAUCCUCAUGAGGAAUUUGGCUGUUGUGUUCAUUGCAUCUGUGAUCUGGACUAUAACAGUCUCAGCACAUGCACCACAAGAUGAGGAUCGUAAGCACAUGCUGUAAGGCCGUCUCCACAGUAGAGUUUGACUGAUGCAAUCAUCAAUGUCAGUGAUGCAAAAACAAAAAUCUUCCAUGUGUGAUGGCCGUCAUCUUUAAGACUGAACGAGGAGAGUUCUGCUAUGAUCCUAGACAACCAUGGGUGCAGAAGAAAGCUAAGCCAUUUUUUAACUAAAAAAAAAAAAAACGCCUAGACUUCCAUGGCAUAACCAGCUUCAUCUAUCAGUGAGCACACUCAUGUGACAGAAUCUACCCAAUUAACUGAGAGCUCAUGAAUCAUGAACAUCUGAAAAUAAACUCAUAAUGAAAACAUAUCUUGAAAGUAGUUACGCAUUUUGAAACUAUUUUUAAAGUCUAAGAGAAUUUGCUGUUGUAUUUUGAAAAUAUUUGAAGCAACGGUUAGUAAAUUAUAUGUAUUUAAAUUGAAUAUUUAAAAUAUAUGUUGUUGUCAUACAUAUGAUGUAAAGAAAUUUGGCCGUAACAAAUCAGUUCUUAUUUAUUCAAUAUUUUCAGAAAAAUGAAUUAUAGUGAAUUUGUUUUAGAACAAAUGUAUUGAAAUAAAAUAUUAGCAUAUAUUAUAUUUCACACUGAAAUAUAUUUCAUUCAAUGUACUGGAAAUGGAUUUGUGUCAUGAACUCCUGUGUGAAGAAGGGUGAAGCAAGUCUGAGUGAAUUUCAAACUGAUUUGUAUGAAAACAAACCUGAAAAUUUUUGUCAGUUGAAUAUGUAAAAGAACGAGUGCUAUCUGAAACUACAAAUAAACAAUAAUCAGCA